CACAGAAGAACUGUGUUUUCAGCAGUGACUUCAAGAAGAUCAGGGUGGAAGUGUGACAAACAGGUUUUCCAAGCAUAACAGGCUGCUUGGAAGAAAGCAUGGAGAUGCCUGUGAGAGAAGAAGAUGAAGAAUAUGGAGACUGGUGUUGGCAGAGCAGAAGGGGAAGAAGGGAAAGGCAGAAGGAGACCAGCUCAGAGAUAUUUGCAGAGGCUGCAUAAGACUAUCCCUGAAGGGGUGAGACUUGGAACUGACCUGGCCAGAGGCCCAGGCAUGAGAAGAGAGGAAGAGAGUUAUCAUGCCAUGCCUGGCCAUGAAGAAGAGGUGCCAAGUGUUUGCAGAGGCUUGUAGAUGGCAGUGUGCUGUGAAAGAAGCAGAGCCUUUGACCACAGCAGAGCCCGGAUUAGGGGGCCUAUAAAGGCAGCCAAGCAGCCAGCCACAAGCAUAGAAGGAAAGGCCCAGAAGCCAGCAAACAGAGCUGAAAACAGGGGAGUAGGAGUUUGGGCGAGGUAGUAAGUGGUGGUCUUUUUAUUUUGUGUGUGGUGUAUUUUUUUGGGGGAAAGGGGGUUUGUGGGUUUUUUUGGGUUGGAUUUGUUUUUUUUGUUUUCCUUGACAGAAGCUUAGGAGGGAAGGAUAUGACAGUGACAGAGGCAGCAGUGGUAGUGACCCAAGAAAUGGAAGAGACAAUGAAGAUGACUGGAAUGUGGAAACUGUGUGAUGUACAUUAUCCUGGAGAGGGUACCCAAAAUGUGCUUUGCUUGUAUGAAGGGCCACUUGAUAAAGCUGAUGGAAGAGAAGAGCUAAGGUUUGGAGACACAGACAAAAACAAUGGUUGAGUUUCAACUGGAAUUCGAGCAGAGAAUGAAGGGAAGGCAAGAGGAGGCUGAAGGGAAAAUUCAAGAUUCACAGAUGCAAGCUGGACUGGAGAACUGUGAGAGUAGACUGCUGGAUGAGGAAAGUGGCCAGUGAAAGCAUGGGACUAUGAGAACCAGGCAGAGGGAAAGAUCAGCUAGUGAAGGAGAAAUAGAGCUCAGGAACAGGUUUGCUGAGUUGUACAAUGAAGAGCACAGCAGGCUGCAACAGAAGGUGGGAGGACAAAGAAGAAGAGAAGAGUGGCUAGUCCUACAAGAAGAGGAGAACAGUAAAUGCAGAUUGCCAGGGUUUGGAGCCCCAGAAGGAUAGGGGACAACUCGCAUAAGAUUGCAAGGAAGAGCAAAAAAUAAGAGGACUUGCAGCCAGAAAGAACAGAAUGAGGAAUACAGAAUGAGAGAAUCACAACAAUAGGGGACUCCCUAUUAAGAAGAACAGACAGGCCUGUCACCAGAGAUGAUCUGGAAAACGGAAGGGUGUGCUGUCAGCUGGGAGCUAAAACAUGGGAUGUGGAUCUGGGGCUGAAGAGAAUCCUAAUGAGAGCAGGGAAGAAUCUACUGUCCUUCACAUGGGAACAACUGAUACCACUAGAUUCUUGCUGGAACGCAUCAAGAAAGAUUAUGCAAGGCUGGGUAAGACACUUUAAGAAAUGGAGUCUCGGGUGAUUUUGAGUGGGAUUCUACCUGUCCCUAGAGGAGGAGAAUGAAGGUGAGACAACAAUAUGAUGAUCAACCAUUACGAUGAUAGCCAGGCAGUGGUGCUAUAAGGAGGGCUUUGGGGUAUUUGAUCACUGGAAAGCAUUCAUGGACAGAAGACUAUU